rnacentral:lncRNA from 1 species
CAGCCACGCCAACAGGACUGACUCCGUGCGGACCCUUCCCCAUCACCUCCACGCGCACAUUUGCUCUCUCCUCUCCUCCCCUUUGCACUCCUCAUCCUCUUUUUUCUUCCUUCAUCCUUGGGUAUUUCAGGCCCCGCACAUCCAUUGGAGAGCCCCCCUCACUUUCUGACACCCUGUGGCCCGGUGCCUUCCUGCAUCCCCGAGGUGAGGGAAUCUGACUUCCUUGGUUGGUGGCGCGGGGGGGGGGGACCUCAGGAGACCCUAACCGCUUGCAUCCCUGACUGUUGGGGGUGUGGGGAUAGGAGGGGCUCAGGAGGGAAGCAGUCACUGUCGGAGGCAGGACCCCCAGAUUCCAUCCCGUUCUCACCUGCUGCCUGUAAUAAAAAUUGUCAUGAACUCAUUAUUUUCUGGGUAAACUCACUUCUCACAACAACCCUGCUCAGGAGGCUUUAUUCCCAUUUGGCAGAGAAGUUCGAGGAGGAGAGAAGUCCAAUGACUUAUCAAAGGUGGCGGAGCUGCCUAUCGCAGAGACUUGAGUGGAGGCAGACCUGUCUCCAAAGCGCUUUUCAACCAAUUCUUUCCAACCAGUUCAGGACGCGGGAAGUUCCGGUUUCUGAAAGCAGGGAAGCAGAGGUUGAACGGCCACUUAUACAGGAGAGAGCGCAGUCCAGGGGAAGUUUCCUUCCAGUCCUGAGAUGCUAAGAGUCUAGGUUCCGAUCUGGAUUUUCUCUGACCGAUGUGUGCCUCUUGGGAGCAGCGUUGGGGCGCCUCAGUGAGUUCUGGUCACUGGAGAGGCAGGAAUCCUGGGUUGCCCAGGGUGGGGACAAGGGGCCGGAGGGGAGGGCGCUAGGGAGAAGUAACCAGCUUAAUAAAGUCACCUCUCUUGUUCCUCUUCUUGCUGGUUUUUUCUUAUUGCCCUGGGCUGAUCUCAGAGUCCCCAAAGGGCAGUAUUUUAAAACACAUUCAGUUUGGAACAGAAGUGUCACCAAGGCUGCAAUGUGCACGAUAUAGAUUGUAACAAAACAAGCCCAGGGCAGGGAGCAGGAGGGGCAGCUUGAAAUCUGUGGCUGCUGCAGGUUUGUGGUGUGACGUUGGGUCAUCUUCCCCACCUGUUUAGUCAUGGCUGAGGACCCUCUGGUUUCUGAUGCUCGGUUUUCUGGGAGGGAAGCAGGCUCACCUGUGUGCCCAUGGAGCUGGAGCUGCACCACGGGGCUCUGCAGGAGGCAGGGUGUGGCUGGUGUUGACUCGGUUUCCCUGCUUGCCAGCCCCCAGGCUCCUGACCCUCAGAAGUGGAGCAAGAUAAGAUGACUUUAAGCUUCUUUGGGGGUAGCUUGUUAUGCACCAGUAAAUAACGGAACCACUCAUCUGAUCAUGUGGCAGAGAUGGUGGGUGGGGGGCUGGCUGACAGCCUGGGAGUCUUCACAUGGGGGCCGUCUCAGGCUUCCCAGUGCAGCAAGAUGGGCCAAGCCCCAAUGCGUAAGUGCUUUGUAAGCCUCUGCUUGCAUCAUCUUUGCCAACAGCCACUGGCGAAAGCAAAUCCUUCACCCAACUCAUCAUAUUCCGGGGGUGAGGAGACAGACCCCAUCUUCUGAAGGCUGGGGAAGAACUUGGGGCUGCUUUUUUGCCAUCGCAGAACUGGAGGCUCCUGCCCUCAACACCCCUCCCGUCUCCGCUUCCUCACUCUUGAGCAGCCUCCUUUUUCUGAGACUCUGCGCCUAAAUCAACACUUCCUGAGCGCCUGUGAUGGGGCAGGUGUUUUCACCACCAUGGCCUUGUGGGCGAGGAAUGCAGGUUCAGAAAGACAAGGUGGUGGCCUGAGUCAUAAAGCUGGUAACUGGUAGGGCCAGGAUCCAGCCCAGGUCGAGGAAUUCCAAGCUUGGCAUUGGUUUUACUUUCGCUGUCAAGAUGCCCAGAACUUUCCAUUUACCUCGGUCUUUUCAGACACACACACAGGCAGAAUAUGUGGAGACGGGUCCUGGCUGGGUUCUCCCCAGGCACCCCUGUUCUGGGACUGCUGGUUGGGGCUGGAGGGAAUCAGUCUGUCUGUCUGGGGCAGGAAGUUUGGGCAAAAUGAACAGACUCUAGGGGGCGACAAAGGCCAAGGUGCCUUCUCAUUGCUACCCUCUGCUCCGUCCCCUUCUUCCUUAGAGGAGGGAGAUGCUGGCCAGCAGGAGAGAACUGUCAUCUUCAGGCUCUAAGAAACCAGGGGAGGUGAGGAAAGAGAAGGAAGGGGAAAGAGAAGGAGGGAGAAGAGAGAGGCAAUAAGGUAAAAAUAGAGGGAAAAUGAUAAAAAGACAAUUGGAGAGAUAUUGAGGCGUAAGACAGAGAGAGAUGGGAAUAAAGAAAAAAAGAGGGACCGAUGGGAAAAUCAACUCUAAGACGGGUGGAGAGGAACAGAGACAGGGAGACAGAGAAGCUUGGAGAGAGAUGAGACAGAGAAGGGCUGAAGGGAGAGAGAUAGGAAGCGGGCAGAGCGGUGGCUGAAGGAGGCGGGAGGAGACGUUAGUUGUGCUGUGUGCCCUCGCUAGGGCAGGUCGGCUCUCUGAGCUCCAUCGCCCAUCAAUAAAAAAGGACUGCCUUAUGGAGCAGGCGUGAGGAUGACCUGAGCAAAUACACGGAGGACUCUGGAAAUGCUAAAGCAAGUGUGAACCCACCAUUGCUAGUGCUGACAGUAUUACUCUUAAGUCAUGGUGGGAGAAGGUAAUGCUGGAAGAGAAUGUCGGAACAGGCGAGACGCUUCAUGCCUCUUCUGUAAGGAGCAUCUUGAUACCAGGGCACUGUUCCAUGUAAGAUGCCCGAUUAGUCUACUCGGGGCGGGGGAGAGUGGCUGUAUCACAGAUACAUAAUCAAGAGAAAUAACUGAGAGCACACAAUUGCUCCUGCAACUGCUCUCUUUGUUUUUUAGGAUCACAGUCGGUGUUUGAGUGCACAGUGGACAACCGUCUACACGAUAUGCUGUAGGUCAUCAACCGAUCAGAACGUCGUGGUGAUGCUGCUUUUACGCAUCUCAUGUCAGUGAACUUAAGUUUUUUAAGACUGACAGUGUGAUCUCAAGACAUACUGAAGACUAACGGUGUUUUGUGUGGAUUUCUGCUUUGGAUAAACACGCAGUGCCCCUCCACUCUCCCCGUGAACUGCACUGCAUAUUGCUGGAAGUUAAACAGCUUUUCUUGAAAGUUCGCUGGAAGCUUUUGACAGGUAGGUGUUUAGUGUCUCCAUUAUGAGACUUGAUGGAUCAAUUUGUCAGACCCACCUCACACCACUCAGAAAAUUCUCUGAUUUAUUUGUGAAGACUGGGCAAUUUUUUGCUGCCAGUAACUUCACUGGCUGGUGGGUGGCAGGCCAUUUCUUGCAUAAACAGUAACUUUUUUUUUUUCCAUAUCACCAUGCCAUCGUUUUGAAGACAUUUAAAGCGGUAACUAGGGAUCCACAUUUAGUUUAUAACACUGUUAUUGUCAUUGUAAAUCACACACUGAAGUGACACUGCAUAAACAUGACAACGACCUGACAACGUGCUCCUCCUCUUGGAAGCGGACCCACGAUGAUAACACACAUUCUGAUUUCAGAAAUUAUAAAGUGUAAAGAAGAACAAAUCUAGGAAAUGCUGGUGGAUGAGAACAAUGGAAAUGACCUGAGAUCACUUAUUGAUAAGAGAGAAAAAAAUGAAUGUCUUUAAAAAGUCCUGAUUAUAUCUAGUGUAUUAAAACAAUUCAAAAUUGCUGCUUGGGAUGCUUUUGCCUCAUUUGAAGGAAUGAGAUGCUAUGCCUGCAAUACUCAUUGCUGCCACCAGGGAGCGGUAGUGUCUUGAACGGCCUGAGUAUCUGAACUUUCCCCAUGGGGUCUAUCAAGUGUCAAAGGUUCAUGCACUUAACUGGUCCGUCCCUGCCUCCCUCACCCAGUAAAAUAAAUCUGGUUUGAAUCCUGGUUCUGGCACUUAGUAGCUGUGUGGCCUUGGGCAAGUUAGCUUUCUCACUUGAGGGGAAGGGGAUAAAGUAGUGUCUUUCAGGACUUUUAGGCAUUUUAUUUUUUAGAACGCUUCUCAACUUACCAAGACCCCUCGGACCGUGUACCUCCAGCUGCCCACACACCCUGCCACGUGGUUAAUGUUCACAGCUCAGCUGUGAGCUGCCCAGGGCAGGGAGCGUAACUGAUACCUGGGCUAAGCCCUUACCUUGGCGCAGGUAUCAAUCUGGACUUACACAGCAGUCGAGGCUACUGUUUAUUGAGCAUGUACUCAGUACCCAUCUCAAGGCCAGUUCUUUUCAUCCUCACAGCAACCCCCGUGUGGUCGGUAGCAUUACUGUGCCCAUUCCACAGAGGAGGGAAUCCCCAGGGCUGUGGGAAGAUUAAAUGACUUAAUGCUUAAAACUUGCUGGCACAGUGCCUAGGACAUAGCAAGGGCUGUGUUCACAGUGCUUAUUAUUUAUGGGGAAGGGGUCAGGCCUGUGGACUGAGAAGUAUAAAACAGCAAAGAAGGAGUUCCCGUCGUGGCGCAGUGGUUAACGAAUCAGACUAGGAACCAUGUGGUUGCGGGUUCGAUCCCUGGCCUUGCUCAGUGAGUUAAAGAUCUGGCAUUGCCAUUAACUGUGGUGUAGGUUGCAGAUGCGGCUCGGAUCUCAAGUUGCUGUGGCUCUGGUGUAGGCCGGUGGCUACAGCUCCGAUUGGACCCCCGGCCUGGGAACCUCCAUAUGCUGCGGGAGCGGCUCAAGAAAAGGCAAAAAGACCAAAAAAAAAAAAAAAAAAAAAAAAAAA